rnacentral:rRNA from 1 species
AGUCGAGGGGCAGCGGGGCGGCAGGCUUGCCUGCCGUUGCCGGCGACCGGCGCACGGGUGAGUAACACGUAUGCAACCUGCCCGUGGCAGGGGGAUAAGCGGGGGAAACCCCGUCUAAUACCGCGUAACGCGGCCUAGGGACAUCCCAAGGCCGCCAAAGGGAGCAAUCCCGGCCACGGAUGGGCAUGCGGCGCAUUAGCUAGUCGGCGGGGUAACGGCCCACCGAGGCGACGAUGCGUAGGGGUUCUGAGAGGAAGGCCCCCCACACUGGUACUGAGACACGGACCAGACUCCUACGGGAGGCAGCAGUGAGGAAUAUUGGUCAAUGGGCGCGAGCCUGAACCAGCCAAGUCGCGUGAGGGAGGACGGCCCUACGGGUUGUAAACCUCUUUUGCCGGGGAGCAACGGGCGUCACGUGUGGCGCCACUGAGAGUACCCGGAGAAAAAGCAUCGGCUAACUCCGUGCCAGCAGCCGCGGUAAUACGGAGGAUGCGAGCGUUAUCCGGAUUUAUUGGGUUUAAAGGGUGCGUAGGCGGAUCGUUAAGUCAGUGGUCAAAUUGAGGGGCUCAACCCCUUCCCGCCAUUGAAACUGGCGUUCUUGAGUGGAAGAGAAGUAUGCGGAAUGCGUGGUGUAGCGGUGAAAUGCAUAGAUAUCACGCAGAACCCCGAUUGCGAAGGCAGCAUGCCGGCUUCCGACUGACGCUGAAGCACGAAAGC